rnacentral:rRNA from 1 species
GGGUGCGAUCAUAUCAACACUAACGCACCGGAUCCCAUCAGAACUCCGCAGUUAAGCGUGCUUGGGGCGAGAGUAGUACAGAGUACUAGGAUAGGUGAAGAGUUUUUUAGAGGUGGUUU